rnacentral:rRNA from 1 species
UGGGGAAUAUUGCACAAUGGGCGCAAGCCUGAUGCAGCCAUGCCGCGUGUGUGAAGAAGGCCUUCGGGUUGUAAAGCACUUUCAGCGAGGAGGAAGGGUAGUGUGUUAAUAGCACAUUGCAUUGACGUUACUCGCAGAAGAAGCACCGGCUAACUCCGUGCCAGCAGCCGCGGUAAUACGGAGGGUGCAAGCGUUAAUCGGAAUUACUGGGCGUAAAGCGCACGCAGGCGGUUUGUUAAGUCAGAAGUGAAAUCCCCGCGCUUAACGUGGGAACUGCAUUUGAAACUGGCAAGCUAGAGUCUUGUAGAGGGGGGUAGAAUUCCAGGUGUAGCGGUGAAAAGCGUAGAGAUCUGGAGGAAUACCGGUGGCGAAGGCGGCCCCCUGGACAAAGACUGACGCUCAGGUGCGAAAGCGUGGGGAGCAAACA